AUAUAUUACUCACUCACACACACGAAAACACACUCUGAAAUUCAUACUCUUUUCUUCGUUUUUGAGACAAAUUUUCACACUGUCGAGAGAAAUUUUAAGAGAAUUCACUAUCUUCUCCUCAUUUUUUUUAAUUCAAACAAAACUCUGGAUUUCAACCUCUAGUCUUCAGAUUUAGAAAAAGUUUAAAACUCCCAAAAAGGCAAGGAAAAAGGUCAUAAAAAGGGAUGAAGAAGGAUGUCUAGAGUUGGUUUUCUGAUUUCUAUUCAAUCACUAUAUUUUCUGGUUUUCUCUGAGUCGAUUGAGCUGUUAGAGGUGUUGAAGUUAUUGAAUCCACUGCUGCUGGACUUGCUGGAUUUCCUAUUUCAUUUUCAAACCAUCCUUUGACCAUUCUCUGUUAUUCUUUGGUUACUUAGGUAAAGUCAUAGGAAAUUUGGAUAGCUGAAGGUCAUUCGUUGAAGGUCAUAUGGAACUGAAAGCAUGUAAAUUUGUUAUAUGCUCUAGAUCUUGGUAAUUGUGAAUGUAAUAAUGAAUGAUACUGUAGUUUGUUAGAAGAAAUUACAUGUGUGGAUACGUUCUUCUUUGGUUCUGUUUCUUCAAUAUAUUGAAUAUGUUGUAGUAUAAACAUGUGUAUUAAUUGAUUUAUGCCUUUCAAAAUCACGUUAAGAAAACUACACGUCGAUGGAUCGUGUAUGAAAUGAGAGUCAGUUUGGACUCGACAAAUGUAUGGAUUAAUGGUUUAAGGCCCCACAAAAGAUUUGUUGGCCUACUUAAAGGGCUAGCCAUUUUCAAGAGUCA